CCUACGGGCGGCAGCAGUGAGGAAUAUUGGUCAAUGGGCUUACGCCUGAACCAGCCAAGUCGCGUGAGGGAAGACUGCCCUAUGGGUUGUAAACCUCUUUUGUCAGGGAGCAACGCCGGCUACGUGUAGCCGGACUGAGAGUACCUGAAGAAAAAGCAUCGGCUAACUCCGUGCCAGCAGCCGCGGUAAUACGGAGGAUGCGAGCGUUAUCCGGAUUUAUUGGGUUAAAAGGGGGCGUAGGCGGAAUGCCAAGUCAGCGGUAAAAUCGCGGGGCUCAACCUCGCUCCGCCGUUGAAACUGGCGUUCUGGAGUGGGCGAGAAGUAUGCGGAAGGCGUGGUGUAGCGGUGAAAUGCAUAGAUAUCACGCAGAACUCCGAUUGCGAAGGCAGCAUACCGGCGCUCAACUGACGCUCAUGCACGAAAGUGUGGGUAUCGAACAGGAUUAGAUACCCUUGUAGUC
rnacentral:rRNA from 1 species